GACGAACGCUGGCGGCGUGCCUAAUACAUGCAAGUUGAGCGCUGAAGGUUGGUACUUGUACCAACUGGUUGAGCAGCGCACGGGUGAGUAACGCGUGGGGAAUCUGCCUUUGAGCGGGGGACAACAUUUGGAAACGAAUGCUAAUACCGCAUAAAAACUUUAAACACAAGUUUUAAGUUUGAAAGAUGCAAUUGCAUCACUCAAAGAUGAUCCCGCGUUGUAUUAGCUAGUUGGUGAGGUAAAGGCUCACCAAGGCGAUGAUACAUAGCCGACCUGAGAGGGUGAUCGGCCACAUUGGGACUGAGACACGGCCCAAACUCCUACGGGAGGCAGCAGUAGGGAAUCUUCGGCAAUGGACGAAAGUCUGACCGAGCAACGCCGCGGGAGUGAAGAAGGGUUUCGGAUCGUAAAACUCUGUUGGUAGAGAAGAACGUUGGUGAGAGUGGAAAGCUCAUCAAGUGACGGUAACUACACAGAAAGGGACGGCUAACUACGUG
rnacentral:rRNA from 1 species